UACGAGGGGGGCAAGCGUUGUUCGGAAUUAUUGGGCGUAAAGAGCUCGUAGGCGGUCUGUCGCGUCGGCUGUGAAAACCCGAGGCUCAACCUCGGGCCUGCAGUCGAUACGGGCAGACUAGAGUGCUGUAGGGGAGACUGGAAUUCCUGGUGUAGCGGUGAAAUGCGCAGAUAUCAGGAGGAACACCGGUGGCGAAGGCGGGUCUCUGGGCAGUAACUGACGCUGAGGAGCGAAAGCGUGGGGAGCAAACAGG
rnacentral:rRNA from 1 species